rnacentral:rRNA from 1 species
UUUGGUUAAGUUAGAAAGGGCGCACGGUGGAUGCCUUGACACUAGGAGUCGAUGAAGGACGGGACUAACGCCGAUAUGCUUCGGGGAGCUGUAAGUAAGCUUUGAUCCGAAGAUUUCCGAAUGGGGAAACCCACCAUACGUAAUGGUAUGGUAUCCUUAUCUGAAUACAUAGGGUAAGGAAGACAGACCCAGGGAACUGAAACAUCUAAGUACCUGGAGGAAGAGAAAGCAAAUGCGAUUUCCUGAGUAGCGGCGAGCGAAACGGAACAUAGCCCAAACCAAGAGGCUUGCCUCUUGGGGUUGUAGGACAUUCUAUACGGAGUUACAAAGGAACGAGGUAGACGAAGCGACCUGGAAAGGUCCGUCGUAGAGGGUAACAACCCCGUAGUCGAAACUUCGUUCUCUCUUGAAUGUAUCCUGAGUACGGCGGAACACGUGAAAUUCCGUCGGAAUCUGGGAGGACCAUCUCCCAAGGCUAAAUACUCCCUAGUGAUCGAUAGUGAACCAGUACCGUGAGGGAAAGGUGAAAAGCACCCCGGAAGGGGAGUGAAAGAGAUCCUGAAACCGUGUGCCUACAAAUAGUCAGAGCCCGUUAACGGGUGAUGGCGUGCCUUUUGUAGAAUGAACCGGCGAGUUACGAUCCCGUGCGAGGUUAAGCUGAAGAGGCGGAGCCGCAGCGAAAGCGAGUCUAAAUAGGGCGUUUAGUACGUGGUCGUAGACCCGAAACCAGGUGAUCUACCCAUGUCCAGGGUGAAGUUCAGGUAACACUGAAUGGAGGCCCGAACCCACGCACGUUGAAAAGUGCGGGGAUGAGGUGUGGGUAGCGGAGAAAUUCCAAUCGAACCUGGAGAUAGCUGGUUCUCCCCGAAAUAGCUUUAGGGCUAGCCUUAAGUGUAAGAGUCUUGGAGGUAGAGCACUGAUUGGACUAGGGGUCCUCAUCGGAUUACCGAAUUCAGUCAAACUCCGAAUGCCAAUGACUUAUCCUUAGGAGUCAGACUGCGAGUGAUAAGAUCCGUAGUCAAAAGGGAAACAGCCCAGACCGCCAGCUAAGGUCCCAAAGUGUGUAUUAAGUGGAAAAGGAUGUGGAGUUGCUUAGACAACUAGGAUGUUGGCUUAGAAGCAGCCACCAUUUAAAGAGUGCGUAAUAGCUCACUAGUCGAGUGACUCUGCGCCGAAAAUGUACCGGGGCUAAAUACACCACCGAAGCUGCGGAUUGAUACCGAAUGGUAUCAGUGGUAGGGGAGCGUUCUAAGGACAGUGAAGUCAGACCGUAAGGACUGGUGGAGUGCUUAGAAGUGAGAAUGCCGGUAUGAGUAGCGAAAGACGGGUGAGAAUCCCGUCCACCGAAUGCCUAAGGUUUCCUGAGGAAGGCUCGUCCGCUCAGGGUUAGUCAGGACCUAAGCCGAGGCCGACAGGCGUAGGCGAUGGACAACAGGUUGAUAUUCCUGUACCACCUCUUUAUCGUUUGAGCAAUGGAGGGACGCAGAAGGAUAGAAGAAGCGUGCGAUUGGUUGUGCACGUCCAAGCAGUUAGGCUGAUAAGUAGGCAAAUCCGCUUAUCAUAAAGGCUGAGCUGUGAUGGGGAAGCUCCUUAUGGAGCGAAGUCUUUGAUUCCCCGCUGCCAAGAAAAGCUUCUAGCGAGAUAAAAGGUGCCUGUACCGCAAACCGACACAGGUAGGCGAGGAGAGAAUCCUAAGGUGUGCGAGAGAACUCUGGUUAAGGAACUCGGCAAAAUGACCCCGUAACUUCGGGAGAAGGGGUGCUUUCUUAACGGAAAGCCGCAGUGAAUAGGCCCAAGCGACUGUUUAGCAAAAACACAGCUCUCUGCGAAGCCGUAAGGCGAAGUAUAGGGGGUGACACCUGCCCGGUGCUGGAAGGUUAAGGAGAGGGGUUAGCGUAAGCGAAGCUCUGAACUGAAGCCCCAGUAAACGGCGGCCGUAACUAUAACGGUCCUAAGGUAGCGAAAUUCCUUGUCGGGUAAGUUCCGACCCGCACGAAAGGUGUAACGAUUUGGGCACUGUCUCAACCAGAGACUCGGUGAAAUUAUAGUACCUGUGAAGAUGCAGGUUACCCGCGACAGGACGGAAAGACCCCGUGGAGCUUUACUGUAGCCUGAUAUUGAAUUUUGGUACAGUUUGUACAGGAUAGGCGGGAGCCAUUGAAACCGGAGCGCUAGCUUCGGUGGAGGCGCUGGUGGGAUACCGCCCUGACUGUAUUGAAAUUCUAACCUACGGGUCUUAUCGACCCGGGAGACAGUGUCAGGUGGGCAGUUUGACUGGGGCGGUCGCCUCCUAAAGUGUAACGGAGGCGCCCAAAGGUUCCCUCAGAAUGGUUGGAAAUCAUUCGUAGAGUGCAAAGGCAUAAGGGAGCUUGACUGCGAGACCUACAAGUCGAGCAGGGACGAAAGUCGGGCUUAGUGAUCCGGUGGUUCCGCAUGGAAGGGCCAUCGCUCAACGGAUAAAAGCUACCCCGGGGAUAACAGGCUUAUCUCCCCCAAGAGUCCACAUCGACGGGGAGGUUUGGCACCUCGAUGUCGGCUCAUCGCAUCCUGGGGCUGUAGUCGGUCCCAAGGGUUGGGCUGUUCGCCCAUUAAAGCGGUACGCGAGCUGGGUUCAGAACGUCGUGAGACAGUUCGGUCCCUAUCCGUCGUGGGCGUAGGAAAUUUGAGAGGAGCUGUCCUUAGUACGAGAGGACCGGGAUGGACGCACCGCUGGUGUACCAGUUGUUCUGCCAAGGGCAUAGCUGGGUAGCUAUGUGCGGAAGGGAUAAGUGCUGAAAGCAUCUAAGCAUGAAGCCCCCCUCAAGAUGAGAUUUCCCAUAGCGUAAGCUAGUAAGAUCCCUGAAAGAUGAUCAGGUUGAUAGGUUCGAGGUGGAAGCAUGGUGACAUGUGGAGCUGACGAAUACUAAUAGAUCGAGGACUUAACCAUAUAA